rnacentral:rRNA from 1 species
UAACUGAAGAGUUUGAUCAUGGCUCAGAUUGAACGCUGGCGGCAGGCUUAACACAUGCAAGUCGAGCGGGGGAAGGUAGCUUGCUACCGGACCUAGCGGCGGACGGGUGAGUAAUGCUUAGGAAUCUGCCUAUUAGUGGGGGACAACAUCUCGAAAGGGAUGCUAAUACCGCAUACGUCCUACGGGAGAAAGCAGGGGAUCUUCGGACCUUGCGCUAAUAGAUGAGCCUAAGUCGGAUUAGCUAGUUGGUGGGGUAAAGGCCUACCAAGGCGACGAUCUGUAGCGGGUCUGAGAGGAUGAUCCGCCACACUGGGACUGAGACACGGCCCAGACUCCUACGGGAGGCAGCAGUGGGGAAUAUUGGACAAUGGGGGGAACCCUGAUCCAGCCAUGCCGCGUGUGUGAAGAAGGCCUUAUGGUUGUAAAGCACUUUAAGCGAGGAGGAGGCUACUCUAGUUAAUACCUAGAGAUAGUGGACGUUACUCGCAGAAUAAGCACCGGCUAACUCUGUGCCAGCAGCCGCGGUAAUACAGAGGGUGCGAGCGUUAAUCGGAUUUACUGGGCGUAAAGCGUGCGUAGGCGGCUUAUUAAGUCGGAUGUGAAAUCCCCGAGCUUAACUUGGGAAUUGCAUUCGAUACUGGUGAGCUAGAGUAUGGGAGAGGAUGGUAGAAUUCCAGGUGUAGCGGUGAAAUGCGUAGAGAUCUGGAGGAAUACCGAUGGCGAAGGCAGCCAUCUGGCCUAAUACUGACGCUGAGGUACGAAAGCAUGGGGAGCAAACAGGAUUAGAUACCCUGGUAGUCCAUGCCGUAAACGAUGUCUACUAGCCGUUGGGGCCUUUGAGGCUUUAGUGGCGCAGCUAACGCGAUAAGUAGACCGCCUGGGGAGUACGGUCGCAAGACUAAAACUCAAAUGAAUUGACGGGGGCCCGCACAAGCGGUGGAGCAUGUGGUUUAAUUCGAUGCAACGCGAAGAACCUUACCUGGCCUUGACAUACUAGAAACUUUCCAGAGAUGGAUUGGUGCCUUCGGGAAUCUAGAUACAGGUGCUGCAUGGCUGUCGUCAGCUCGUGUCGUGAGAUGUUGGGUUAAGUCCCGCAACGAGCGCAACCCUUUUCCUUACUUGCCAGCAUUUCGGAUGGGAACUUUAAGGAUACUGCCAGUGACAAACUGGAGGAAGGCGGGGACGACGUCAAGUCAUCAUGGCCCUUACGGCCAGGGCUACACACGUGCUACAAUGGUCGGUACAAAGGGUUGCUACACAGCGAUGUGAUGCUAAUCUCAAAAAGCCGAUCGUAGUCCG